UGGGGAGGGGCAGUUCCUCUUUCCUUCCUAAACGCGUUGGACGCUGCAGCUCCCAGGGGGCUGACGGUCUGGCCUUAGAAGGAACGGGAUCCCACUCCUGUCGGGACCCCCGCCCCCUCCAAGAAACAUGAACCGGAAAGACAGCAAAAGGAAGUCUCAUCAGGAAUGCUCUGGGAAGACAGGAGGACGGGGUCGGCCGCGACAGGCCCGCCGCCACAAGACAUGCCCCACGCCCCGGGAAAUCAUCAAGGCUAUGGCGUCCAUGAACCUGGGGGUGCUGAAUGAAGGCAGCUGCCGCGAAGACGAGCUACUGGAGAAAUGUAUCCAGUGCUUCGACUCAACUGGCAGCCUCCGCCGCGGGGACCACAUUCUCAAGAUGCUGCUUACAAUGCACAGCUGGGUGCUGCCAUCCUCAGACUUCGCGGCCCGGCUGCUGACCUCGUACCAGGAAGCUUCCAGAGGUGCACAGGAGCUAAGGCAGCUGCAGAUCUGUUACCUGGUCAGGUACUGGCUGACCCAUUACCCUGAGGCAGUGCGCCAGGAGCCCCACCUAGAGGAAGUCAUCGGUCGGUUUUGGGCCACCGUAGCCCAGGAGGGCAACUUGGCCCAAAGGAGCUUAAGAGAUGCCUCCAACCUACUGAGCCCCAGAGGGCCCGGGCCACCACCUCUCAUGAACAGCCCAGGCCUGGGCAAGAAACGCAAAGUGUCCCUGCUGUUUGAUCACCUGGGGACACAGGAGCUGGCUCAGCACCUCACUUACCUCGAGUUCCGGUGCUUCCAGGCCAUCACGCCCCAAGACCUACGGGGCUAUGUUUUGCAGGGCUCAGUGAGGGGUUGUCCAGCUCUGGAAGGUUCUGUGGGUCUGAGCAACAGUGUGUCCCGCUGGGUACAGGUCAUGGUGCUGAGCCGUCCUGGGCCUGCGCAGCGUGCCCAGGUACUGGACAAAUUCAUUCACGUGGCACAGAGGCUUCGCCAGCUACAGAAUUUCAACACACUGAUGGCAGUCACGGGGGGCCUGUGUCAUAGUUCCAUUGCCAGGCUCAAGGACUCCCACAACCACCUGAGCCCCGACAGCACUAAGACCCUGCUGGAGCUGACGGAACUCCUCGCCUCCCACAACAACUAUGCCUGCUACCGCCGCACCUGGGCCAGCUGCACUGGCUUCCGGCUGCCGGUACUGGGUGUUCACCUCAAGGACCUGGUGUCCCUGUACGAGGCCCAUCCAGACAGGUUGCCAGAUGGCCGGGUGUACCUACCGAAGCUGAACAGCCUCUACCUGCGGCUGGAGGAGCUGGCAGCUCUCCAGGGACAGCAUCCCCCCUGCAGCGCCAAUGAGGACCUGCUGCAUCUGCUGACGCUCUCCCUGGAUCUCUUCUACACCGAAGACGAGAUCUACGAGCUUUCUUAUGCCCGGGAACCACGCUGUGCCAAGAGUCUGCCACCCUCCCCUUACAAAGCACCUCUGGUUGUGGAGUGGGCCCAUGGUGUGGCGCCGAAGCCGGACAGCGCGACCCUGGGUCAGCAUGUAGAACAGCUGGUGGCGUCCGUGUUCAGAAACUAUGACCCAGAAGGACACGGCACCAUCUCUCUGGAAGACUUUGAGCGGCUGUCGGGCAACUUCCCCUUUGCCUGCCAUGGGCUGCACCCCCCUCCCCGGCACGGGAGUGACUCCUUCAGCAGAGAGGAGCUGACAGAAUACCUGCUCCGUGCCAGCGCCAUCUGCUCCAAGCUGGGCCUGGCCUUCCUGCACACCUUCCAUGAGGUCACCUUCCGCAAGCCCACCUUCUGCUACAGCUGCAGCGGCUUCGUGAGCACUUGGCCCUCUCUGGGGUGUCACCAAGCAAGGUUAUCGCUGUCGGGACUGUGGACUGUGUUGUCACAAACACUGCAAGGACCAGGUGAGAGUGGAGUGCAGGAAGAGGCCGGACACCAAGGGGGACCCUGGCGCCCCAGGAGCGCCUGUGCCAGCCGGGCCGCCGCCUCCCGCCAGCUGCGGCUCCGAGGACAAUGUCUCCUAUACGCUAUCCCUGGAUGCUGAGUCGGGUAGCCACCUUCGCCAUGCCUGGACCCAGACGGAGUCCUCACACUCUUCCUGGGAGACGGAGAUGGUGCCUGUCCCAGAACCAGUUUCAGCGUCCAAAGCUUCCUCGGAGCCCAGUGCCUGAAUGGACAGUCCCUUCUCUCGCUCCCCUAACCGCUGUCUCAUCCACACUGCCGCUGACAAAACACCCAUCAUCUACCCUAGAAAAGGUUCUGCGCUGCACUGUCCAGUCAGACUCCUCCCCCCUCACUUAGCAUCUGCAGCUCUGUUGGAACUUGGACUCCAGUCAUGUCAUCUCCCCAACUCCCCACCUCCCAGACACGGAGACUGGAGCUUAGUAAGGUUAAGCUUCAAGCUCAAAGCAUGGGAGGCAAGGCUCACACUGUUUCCGAAAUGAAGUGCUGAACCAGUGGACUACACUGACUGUCAGCAGGAAGCUGGUGGUCUUGAGGACGGAGGGGACAGAGUUCCAACCACUGUCAGGAAAGAGGCUGGUGUGGACAGCGUGUGUGAAAUGUCUUCCUCUGCUGGGGCCUCCUGGCUCAAGGCAAAACCCAGCCUAUGGCUUCCAAAGCUCUGCAAGCUCUGUCCUCAGCAUGGGUCUCCUCUGUCCACAUCACGCCUCCUUAGUCAUACUCUUCCACCUCCACUGGCCUGUGUUCCAGAGCACACCCUGAAAUACUGCCACCUCGGGACUUCUGCACUGGUGGCUCCCUUUAUCUCGAAUGCCCGUGGCCAGAGGUCUACAAGGCUCACCUGCUCUACAGCUCUGUUCAAGUGACAUCCCCUUGGUGAGGCCUCCUGACCGCAGAGAUGUCACACAUAUAUGUUGUGACACUCCCUUCCUGCUUUAUAUUUUUCUGACCAACUGGACAUUUCACCUAUUGUUGAAUGUCUGCUCGUCCUCACCAGGAAGAGCUCCCAGAAGGCAGAGAUGUUUAUCUGUAUCAUCCCCACAAGCGGCCUAGUGCCUGUAAAGGGUCCAAUGCUUCACUGUGUCCCAACACCCACAUGAAAGACAAAAGACUCAUCCGGACCUGGAAGCAGAACUCACUGCCCCUCCACAAAAGCACACACCCUUGAGCUGGUCCCUACAGAAACAGAUCCUGUAACAAUCAAAAGAAUUAAAUUUAUUUUUCACACAA